UAGAUAAUGAUGAAGAUAAAUAUGUAAUCCAACACUUGAUCUGAUUUUGUGAUGUCAGUUAUAUUUUUAUGUUUCUGAAUCUAC